AUUGAACGCUGGCGGCAGGCUUAACACAUGCAAGUCGAGCGGAGAGAGGUAGCUUGCUACCGAUCUUAGCGGCGGACGGGUGAGUAAUGCUUAGGAAUCUGCCUAUUAGUGGGGGACAACAUUUCGAAAGGAAUGCUAAUACCGCAUACGUCCUACGGGAGAAAGCAGGGGAUCUUCGGACCUUGCGCUAAUAGAUGAGCCUAAGUCGGAUUAGCCAGUUGGUGGGGUAAAGGCCCACCAAGGCGACGAUCUGUAGCGGGUCUGAGAGGAUGAUCCGCCACACUGGGACUGAGACACGGCCCAGACUCCUACGGGAGGCAGCAGUGGGGAAUAUUGGACAAUGGGCGGAAGCCUGAUCCAGCCAUGCCGCGUGUGUGAAGAAGGCCUUAUGGUUGUAAAGCACCUUAAGCGAGGAGGAGGCUACUUUAGUUAAUACCUAGAGAUAGUGGACGUUACUCGCAGAAUAAGCACCGGCUAACUCUGUGCCAGCCGCCGCUGUAAUAC
rnacentral:rRNA from 1 species